rnacentral:rRNA from 1 species
CGGCACCUCAAGUGGUCGUCGCUUUUAUUGGGCCUAAAACGUCCGUCGCCUGUUUGGUACAUUCGUGGGUAAAUCAAGCCGCUCAACGCGUUGAAUUCUGCGAGGACGGCCAGACUAGGGACCGGGAGAGGUAUGGGGUACUCUCAGGGUAGGGGUAAAAUCCAGUCAUCCUGAGGGGACCACCUGUUGCAGAGGCGCCAAUCUAGA